AGAACGAACGCUGGCGGCAUGCCUAACACAUGCAAGUCGAACGAGACCUUCGGGUCUAGUGGCGGACGGGUGAGUAACGCGUGGGAACCUGCCCAUUAGUACGGAAUAACCGCGGGAAACUGCGGCUAAUACCGUAUACGCCCCUCGGGGGAAAGAUUUAUCGCUAAUGGAUGGGCCCGCGUCGGAUUAGCUAGUUGGUGAGGUAACGGCUCACCAAGGCGACGAUCCGUAGCUGGUCUAAGAGGAUGAUCAGCCACACUGGGACUGAGACACGGCCCAGACUCCUACGGGAGGCAGCAGUGGGGAAUAUUGGACAAUGGGGGAAACCCUGAUCCAGCAAUGCCGCGUGAGUGAUGAAGGCCUUAGGGUUGUAAAGCUCUUUUACCCGGGAUGAUAAUGACAGUACCGGGAGAAUAAGCUCCGGCUAACUCCGUGCCAGCAGCCGC
rnacentral:rRNA from 1 species